GCAUAGGUUCACAGGUUCCUCCUACUGUGGCCCCUGCUGAUCUUUAUCCUCUCUCUUUCCAUCUCUCUCUCUUUCUCUCCAUCUCUCUCUCUUCCCCUCCUCCCUCUCUCUCUUCCAUCUCUCCUUCCCUCUCUCCAUCUCUCUCUCUUCCCCUCCUCCCUUUCUCUCUCUUCCUCUCUCUCUCUUCUCUUCUUCCCUUUUCUCUCUCUUCUAUCUCUCCUUCUCUCUCUCCAUCUCUCUCUCUUUCCCUGCUCCCUUUCUCUCUCUCUCUCCAUCUCUUUCCCUCCCUUUCUCUCUCUCUCCAUCUCUUUCUCUCUUCUCUCUUUCCCUCCCUUUCUCUCUCUCUCUCCAUCUUUUUCUCUCUUCUAUCUUUCCCUCCCUCUCUCUCUCUCCAUCUUUUUCUCUCUUCUAUCUUUCCCUCCCUUUCUCUCUCUCCAUCUCUUUUUCUCUCUUCUAUCUCUCCUUCCCUCUCUCCAUCUCUCUCUCUUUCCCUGCUCUGUUUCUCUCUCUCUCUCCAUCUCUUUCUCUUUCCCUCCCUUUCUCUUUCUCUCCAUCUCUUUCUCUCUUCUCUCUUUCCCUCCCUUUCUCUCUCUCUAUCUUUUUCUCUCUUCUAUCUUUCCCUCCCUUUCUCUCUCUCCAUCUCUUUUUCUCUCUUCUAUCUCUCCUUCCCUCUCUCCAUCUCUCUCUUCUCCUCCUCCCUUUCUCUCUCUAUCUCUUUCUCUCUCCCUUUCUCUCCAUCUUUCUCUCUCCAUCUCUUUUUCUCUUCUUCUGUCUCUCCCUCCAUCUCUCUCUCUUUUUCUCUUUCCCUUCCACCCUCUUUCUUUCUCCUCCCCCUCCCCACACGUACACAUACACUCAUCCCUCCAACUACCAGGGCACUUUCUCCUGAUGGUCCUGGGAGAGAAGGCAGCCUUGGGGUCUAGGGUACUUGUUCCAAGGGCAAAAGAGUCUGUACCCAGGGAAGGAGGGAACCCUAGGGGCAAUAAAGAGGAAUGAAGAGGGAGGGAAGCCAGAAGGAGGAUAUGAGCACAUAAAUAUGCAUGCAUGCAUCCACACGCGUCCAUGGGGACCUGCAUGCUCAUAAAUGUGUGAGGCAUGGAAUGUUGUGAAAGGAAAUGAUUUUGUGGCUAUGGAGAAGCAGGGCAAAGUUCACAAGCCCAGAAAUUCUUCAUCCAGCUCGGACCCUGUGACUUCCAUGGAACUCCAGGGACAGGAUGGGAACUUCCCCUAUCUUAUCUGGAACUGAGCUAAAUGUAGCCUCUGGGCUGACUUGCUGAGCCUAGGGGAUGCAUGAUGAGUAUGGAAAUAUGUUUAGAAGAAUUGUACAUGUUUAACCUAUAUUGGAUUGCUUGUUAUCUGGAGGGAGUGGGGAGAGAAGGGAGAAAAAGUUGGAACACAAGGUUUUGCAAAGGAAAGGCCCCACAUAGAAAGCACGUAUGAAAUGAAUGGUGAAAAAAAAAAAAAAAAAGAAAGAAAGAAAUGAAUGGUGAAGGCAAGGAGGGACCCUGAGAGGAUGAUUCAGAUUCACCCAUUGAGUCAACUCUUUGAGUCCAGUCUUCCAACCAGACAAUGGCGACAGAAUCCCACCAGAGCUCUCCUUCUCUUCCUUACCUGUAUGGCCCCUCCCUUGACCUGUUAGCUCAGGUGGAGCUUAGGCCAUGAGAUAUCAGUCACUGACCCAGCAAGAAAUAUAGACGAAAUCCUCAGAAGGGGCAGGAAGAAACUCUUUUUAGAAGGAGGUUUGUACACGACAUUCCGAUGGAUGAUACUCUAACCCAAGGCUUCUUAACAUUUUUUAUGUCCUGGACCUCUUUGGAAGUCAGUUUGUUAAAACCUAUGAACUCCUUCUCAGAAUAAAAUUUUUCAAUGCAUAAAAUAAAAGUGCAAGGGCAGCUAGAUGGCAAAUGGAGAGAGUACCAGCCCUGGAGUCAGGAGGACCUGAGUUUGAAUGCAGCCUCAGAUAUAUCACUUACUAGUUGUGUGACCCUGGGCAAGUCACUUAAGCCCAAAAGCCUGGUCAAAAUAAUAAAGUCAAGGGCAUCCAGUUGGUGCAGUGGACAGAGCACCAGCCCUGAAGUCAGGAGGACCAGAGUUCAAAUUGCACUCAAAUACUUAGCACUUCUGGCUGUGACCCUGGGCAAGUCACUUAACUCCCAUUGCCUCAGCAAAAAAUAAAGUAAAAAUGUAAAGGAUCACAAAAGAAACUAGUUAUAUUAAAAUGCAACUCUCUCUCUCUCUCUCUCACACACACACACACAAACACACACACACACAUACAUACAUACACAGACAUAUACACAUCUGCAUCCAGAGAGAGAACUAUGGAGACUAAAUGUAGAUUGAAGCAUACUAUUUUUACUUUUUUUGUUGUUUGCUUUUUCUUUCAUGUGCUUUUCCCUUUUGUUCUGAUUUUUCUUUCACAAAAUGACUAAUAUGGAAAUAUUUUUAAAAUGAUUGUUCAUGUAUAACCUACAUUGGAUUGCUUGCUGUCUUGGGGAAGGAGGGAGGGGAAAAAAACAAUUUGCAAAUCAAAAUCUUUUGGGAAUGAAAGUUGAAACCUAUCUUUGUUUGUAAUUGGAAAAAUAAAAUAUAUUUUUUAUUUUUAAUAUAUAUUUUUA